GGGAACUUUCCCUAUAUAAGUGAGAGAGAGACGUAGCUAAGGGCUUGAACUGCAAGAUCCACUCCAAGUGGUGACCGGCAUACGAGACCAGAAGCUUCUAUGAACACUCUUGAACACAUCCGGGAACGAGAUGUCCCUCCCGAGGCGCCUGGGGCGACCCAAAAGCGGACAAGAACUGCAUGGAGGAAUGGGUCAAAAUACCAGCAACAGUGUGUAAAAACCUUGUGAAGAUAUACAAAAAAUGUUUUACCUCUGUCAUUGCCAACAAAGGGUAUAUAACAAAGUAUUGAGAUGAACUUUUGUUAUUGACCAAAUACUUGUUUUCCACCAUAAUCUGCGAAGAAAUUCUUUAAAAAUAAGAAUGUGAUUUUCUGGA